rnacentral:misc_RNA from 1 species
AACCAUAGAAACCUGCGGAGUACCUGCGGAGGGAUCAUUAACACACAAAAGAGGGAAUGAGUGAGAGGGAGAAAUUCUGAUCGCUCUUCUCUUUAAGUCCAUUUUGGGAUGUGGUGACAUUCACUUGUUGCCCUUCCUAAAACAACGUGCGAUGUUCAAGUCUUGUGACCAUGCAUGCCCAUCUCGGUGGUGCUUUUGCAUGAUCACAAGCAAAACCAAGAACACAAAUUCAUUGUAAAA